rnacentral:tRNA from 1 species
GCGGAGCUCGCUCUCUGGGAGAGCACCGGUGUGACACGCCGGAACAGGCGGGUUCGAUUCCCGCGCUCCGCACCA